CAAGACAGGUGGUGCAUGGUUGUCGUCAGCUCGUGUCGUGAGAUGUUGGGUUAAGUCCCGCAACGAGCGCAACCCUUAUCUUCAGUAGCCAGCAGGUAAAGCCGGGCACUCUGGAGAGACUGCCGGGGAUAACCCGGAGGAAGGUGGGGAUGACGUCAAAUCAUCAUGCCCCUUAUGAUUUGGGCUACACACGUGCUACAAUGGCGUAAACAGAGGGAAGCGAGCCCGCGAGGGGGAGCAAAUCCCAAAAAUAACGUCCCAGUUCGGAUUGUAGUCUGCAACCCGACUACAUGAAGCUGGAAUCGCUAGUAAUCGCGGAUCAGAAUGCCGCGGUGAAUACGUUCCCGGGUCUUGUACACACCGCCCGUCACACCAUGGGAGUCGGAAAUGCCCGAAGUCUGUGACCUAACCGCAAGGGAGGAGCAGCCGAAGGCAGGUCGGAUGACUGGGGUGAAGUCGUAACAAGGUAGCCGUAUCGGAAGGUGCGGUUGGAUCACCUC
rnacentral:rRNA from 1 species